GACUACUCGGGUAUCUAAGCCUGUUCGCUCCCCACGCUUUCGUCCCUCAGCGUCAAUCAUCGUCUAGCCGGCUGCCUUCGCUUUAGGGGUUCCUCCCGAUCUCUACGCAUUCCACCACUACACCGGGAAUUCCACCGACCUCGACGUGAUUCUAGUCUAUUGGUUUCCAACGCACUCUCUCAGUUAAGCCGAGAACUGUCACGCCAGACCUUCCAGACCGCCUACAGACCCUUUACGCCCAGUAAUUCCGGAUAACGUUCGCCACCUACGUAUUACCGCGGCUGCUGGCACGUAGUUAGCCGUGACUUAUUCAGGUGGUACUCUCCUUGCUACUCCCACCUAAAAGCAGUUUACAACCCGAAGGCCGUCAUCCUGCACGCGGCAUUGCUGGUUCAGAGUUUCCUCCAUUGACCAAUAUUCCUCACUGCAGCCGCCCGUAGG
rnacentral:rRNA from 1 species